rnacentral:rRNA from 1 species
CAGCCGCCGCGGGAACACGUAGGUGGCAAGCGUUGUCCGGAAUUAUUGGGCGUAAAGGGCUCGCAGGCGGUUUCUUAAGUCUGAUGUGAAAGCCCCCGGCUCAACCGGGGAGGGUCAUUGGAAACUGGGAAACUUGAGUGCAGAAGAGGAGAGUGGAAUUCCACGUGUAGCGGUGAAAUGCGUAGAGAUGUGGAGGAACACCAGUGGCGAAGGCGACUCUCUGGUCUGUAACUGACGCUGAGGAGCGAAAGCGUGGGGAGCGAACAGGAUUAGAUACCCGAGUAGUCCCUGUCUCUUAUAC